UGCCAUGUUCUGAUGCCUGUUUGGGAUGGA
rnacentral:piRNA from 1 species